UACGUAGGGGGCUAGCGUUGUCCGGAAUCAUUGGGCGUAAAGCGCGUGUAGGCGGCCCGAUAAGUCCGCUGUGAAAGUCCAGGGCUCAACCCUGGGAUGCCGGUGGAUACUGUCGGGCUCGAGUCCGGAAGAGGCGAGUGGAAUUCCAGGUGUAGCGGUGAAAUGCGUAGAUAUCUGGAGGAAUACCGGUGGCGAAGGCGGCGUUCUGGACCAUUACUGACACUGAAUCGCGAAAGCUAGGGGAGCAAACGGG
rnacentral:rRNA from 1 species